GAUCUGGCUCAGGAUGAACGCUGGCGGCGUGCUUAACACAUGCAAGUCGAACGAAGCACUUUAACCUGAUUCUUCGGAUGAAGGUUUUUGUGACUGAGUGGCGGACGGGUGAGUAACGCGUGGGUAACCUGCCUCAUACAGGGGGAUAACAGUUAGAAAUGACUGCUAAUACCGCAUAAGACCACGGAGUCGCAUGGCUCAGUGGGAAAAACUCCGGUGGUAUGAGAUGGACCCGCGU
rnacentral:rRNA from 1 species